rnacentral:rRNA from 1 species
GAUGAACGCUGGCGGCGUGCUUAACACAUGCAAGUCGAACGGUGAAGCAGGAGCUUGCUCUUGUGGAUCAGUGGCGAACGGGUGAGUAACACGUGAGCAACCUGCCCCUGACUCUGGGAUAAGCGCUGGAAACGGCGUCUAAUACUGGAUAUGUGAUGUGACCGCAUGGUCUGCAUCUGGAAAGAAUUUCGGUUGGGGAUGGGCUCGCGGCCUGUCAGCUUGUUGGUGAGGUAAUGGCUCACCAAGGCGUCGACGGGUAGCCGGCCUGAGAGGGUGACCGGCAACACUGGGACUGAGACACGGCCAAGACUCCUACGGGAGGCAGCAGUGGGGAAUAUUGGACAAUGGGCGGAAGCCUGAUGCAGCAACGCCGCGUGAGGGAUGACGGCCUUCGGGUUGUAAACCUCUUUUAGCAGGGAAGAAGCGAAAGUGACGGUACCUGCAGAAAAAGCACCGGCUAACUACGUGCCAGCAGCCGCCGUAA